AAUAAAUAUACAGUCCCUGAAGUACAGUCCAUUUGCAUCUCCUAAAUAUGCGGUUCUACGAUUUUGUCCAAAAUAUAAAUUUCAUCAAUAUUAGCAAAAAUAUCCAAAUUACAAAAUGUUAAUUAACUAUUAUGCAUUAACCCAGUUCUAUGACUUUGUCCAAAAUAUACAUUUCAUCAACAUUAAAUAGGCAAGACAGGUGCUACUCUCCCAUUGUUGGUUGACAUAAUUAGGCACCAGAUUACUUCCUGCC
rnacentral:misc_RNA from 1 species